rnacentral:tRNA from 1 species
GCUCCGCUGGCGCAAUGGUAGCGCGCCAGACUUCUACUCUUAGCUGUGUGUUCGAGUCCCACGCGGAGUG